ACUCAAAUGAAUUGACGGGGGCCCGCACAAGCGGUGGAUUAUGUGGAUUAAUUCGAUGCAACGCGAAAAACCUUACCUGGCCUUGACAUGUACCGAAUUUACCAGAGAUGGUUUAGUGCUCGAAAGAGAACGGUAACACAGGUGCUGCAUGGCUGUCGUCAGCUCGUGUCGUGAGAUGUUGGGUUAAGUCCCGCAACGAGCGCAACCCUUGCCAUUAAUUGCCAUCAUUUAGUUGGGCACUUUAAUGGGACUGCCGGUGACAAACCGGAGGAAGGUGGGGAUGACGUCAAGUCCUCAUGGCCCUUAUGGCCAGGGCUUCACACGUAAUACAAUGGUCGGUACAGAGGGUUGCCAACCCGCGAGGGGGAGCCAAUCCCAGAAAGCCGAUCGUAGUCCGGAUUGUAGUCUGCAACUCGACUACAUGAAGUCGGAAUCGCUAGUAAUCGCGGAUCAGCAUGUCGCGGUGAAUACGUUCCCGGGCCUUGUACACACCGCCCGU
rnacentral:rRNA from 1 species